rnacentral:rRNA from 1 species
AUAUAGCACCGAAGCUGCGGCAUCAGGCGUAUCACUAAUACGCCUUACGAUUAACAAGCUAGAAUGGCGCGAAGCGUCAUGAAAGGUUGUUCAAGCAACCCGAACGUUGAGUCGGGCAUCUUAGAGUAAGGAUGAUUAGUGAUACGCCUGUUGGGUAGGGGAGCGUUGUGUAAGCGGAAGAAGGUUCAUCGAGAGGUGGGCUGGACGUAUCACAAGUGCGAAUGCUGACAUAAGUAACGAUAAAACGGGUGAAAAACCCGUUCGCCGGAAGACCAAGGGUUCCUGUCCAACGUUAAUCGGGGCAGGGUGAGUCGGC